rnacentral:rRNA from 1 species
GUGUCAGCAGCCGCGGUAAUACGUAGGGGGCAAGCGUUGUCCGGAUUUAUUGGGCGUAAAGAGCGUGUAGGCGGCCAGACAGGUCCGUUGUGAAAACUCGAGGCUCAACCUCGAGACGCCGAUGGAAACCAUCUAACUAGAGUCCGGAAGAGGAGAGUGGAAUUCCUGGUGUAGCGGUGAAAUGCGCAGAUAUCAGGAAGAACACCCGUGGCUAAGGCGGCUCUCUAGUACGGUACUGACGCUGAGACGCGAAAGCGGGGGGAGCGACCAGGAUUAGAAACCCCCGUAGUCC